rnacentral:rRNA from 1 species
CGAAAUGCGAUAAGUAGUGUGAAUUGCAGAAUUCCGUGAAUCAUCGAAUCUUUGAACGCACAUUGCGCCUCCUGGUAAUUGGGGAGGCAUGCCUGUCCGAGCGUCACUGAAAUCAACUCAAGCACUUUUGUGCGUGGUCGUGGAGGAAGAGUCAGCCUCGUCGCAGUCUCCCCUCUGAAAAUCAAUGGCGGAAAGUCACCGGUACUCUGCGUAGUAGUUACGUUCGCUGAGCUUCUAGUGUCGUUCCCGCCUUCAAACCCCCACAAUUCUCUCGAUUGACCUCGGAUCAGGUAGGGAUACCCGCUGAACUUAAGCAUAUCAAUAAGCGGAGGAAAAGAAACCAACAGGGAUUGCCUUAGUAACUGCGAGUGAAGCGGCAAAAGCUCAAAUUUGAAAUCGGUGUCCAUCGAACGCCGAGUUGUAAUUUGGAGGGACAACUUCGGGCUGAACCACAUCGUAAGUUCCUUGGAACAGGACGUCAUAGAGGGUGAGAAUCCCGUGUCUUGAUGUCGGGUCAAACCAUGUGAAGUGUCUCCGACGAGUC